CUAGCAGGUCAGAUGUGAAAUCCCCGGGCUCAACUCGGGAACUGCGUUUGAAACCGUUAGGCUUGAGGCUAGGAGAGGAAAGCGGAAUUCCUGGUGUAGCGGUGAAAUGCGUAGAUAUCAGGAGGAACACCGGUGGCGAAAGCGGCUUUCUGGACUAGUUCUGACGCUGAGGCGCGAAAGCGUGGGGAGCGAACGGGAUUAGAUACCCCGGUAGUCCACGCUGUAAACGAUGAGCACUAGGUGUAGCGGGUAUCGACCCCUGCUGUGCCGCAGCUGACGCAAUAAGUGCUCCGCCUGGGGAUUACGCACGCAAGUGUGAAACUCAAAGGAAUUGACGGGGCCCCGCACAAGCGGUGGAGUAUGUGGUUUAAUUCGAUGCAACGCGAAGAACCUUACCAGGGCUCGACAUGUUGGUGGUAGGAAGCCGAAAGGUAACCGACCCUUCGGGGAGCCUUCACAGGUGCUGCAUGGCUGUCGUCAGCUCGUGUCGUGAGAUGCUGGGUUAAGUCCCGCAACGAGCGCAACCCCUACCCUUAGUUGCCAUCAGUUCGGCUGGGAACUCUAGGGGAACUGCCGGUGACAAACCGGAGGAAGGUGGGGAUGACGUCAAGUCCUCAUGGCCCUUAUGUCCUGGGCUACACACGUACUACAAUGGUCGGUACAAUGAGUCGCAAUACCGCGAGGUGGAGCCAAUCUCAAAAAACCGGCCUCAAUUCAGAUUGGAGUCUGCAACUCGACUCCAUGAAGUUGGAAUCGCUAGUAAUCGCGAAUCAGCAUGCCGCGGUGAAUUCGUUCCCGGGGCUUGUACACACCGCCCGUCACACCACGAAAGUUGGUUGCACUGGAAGUCGCCAGGCGAACCGCAAGGAUGCAGGCGCCUAAGGUGUGGUC
rnacentral:rRNA from 1 species